UGGUUCUGGCAUCGAUGAAGAACGCAGCGAAAUGCGAUAAGUAAUGUGAAUUGCAGAAUUCAGUGAAUCAUCGAAUCUUUGAACGCACAUUGCGCCCCUUGGUAUUCCGGGGGGCAUGCCUGUUCGAGCGUCAUUACAACCCUCAAGCUAUGCUUGGUUAUGGGCCGUGCCGGCAACGGCUGGCCCCAAAAUUAGUGGCGGCGCCAUCGUGCUCUCAGCGUAGUAAUUCUUCUCGCUGUUGGGUCCCGGUGGACGCUGGCCAGCAACCCCCAAUUUUUUAUGGUUGACCUCGGAUCAGGUAGGGAUACCCGCUGA
rnacentral:misc_RNA from 1 species